rnacentral:rRNA from 1 species
UACGUAGGGAGCAAGCGUUGUCCGGAAUCAUUAGGCGUAAAGCGCGCGUAGGUGGCCCCAUAAGUCCGCUGUGAAAGUCAAAGGCUCAACCUUUGAAAGCCGGUGGAUACUGUGGGACUAGAGUACGGAAGAGGCGAGUGGAAUUCCUGGUGUAGCGGUGGAAUGCGCAGAUAUCAGGAGGAACACCAAUAGCGAAGGCAGCUCGCUGGGACGUUACUGACACUGAGGCGCGAAAGCGUGGGGAGCGAACAGG